ACAACUUUCAGCAACGGAUCUCUUGGCUCUCGCAUCGAUGAAGAACGCAGCGAAUUGCGAUAAGUAAUGUGAAUUGCAGAUUUUCAGUGAAUCAUCGAAUCUUUGAACGCACCUUGCGCUCCUUGGUAUUCCGAGGAGCAUGCCUGUUUGAGUGU
rnacentral:rRNA from 3 species